rnacentral:rRNA from 1 species
UACGUAGGGUGCGAGCGUUAAUCGGAUUUACUGGGCGUAAAGCGUGCGCAGGCGGCCUGGUAAGACAGUUGUGAAAUCCCUGGGCUCAACCUAGGAAUUGCGAUUGUGACUGGCGGGCUCGAGUACGGUAGAGGGGGGUGGAAUUCCUGGUGUAGCAGUGAAAUGCGUAGAGAUCAGGAGGAACACCGAUGGCGAAGGCAGCCCCCUGGGCCUGUACUGACGCUCAUGCACGAAAGCGUGGGGAGCAAACAGG